rnacentral:lncRNA from 1 species
CUGGUCUGAUGGAACAAGCUGGGAAGUGUUUCCUCCUCUUGUAUUUUCUGGAACAGUUUGUGAAGAAUCGACGCUCUUUAAACAUUUGGUAGAAUUCACCAGUGAAGUUAUCUGGGUCUGGGCAUUUCUUUUUGGGAAGUCUCUAAAUGACUAAUUCAAUCUCUUCAUUUCUUAUAGGUAUAUUCAGGUUUUCUAUUUCUUCUGGAGUCAGUUUUGGUAUUCUGUUUCUCUAGAAACUUGUCCAUUUUUAUAAGUUAUCUGAUUUGUUGUUGUUGUUCAUCAUAUUUCUGUAUAAUUGUUUUAAUUUCAUGGCUAUGUUUAUUGUUUAUAUGUUUGGGGAGAAUAUUCUGUUCCCUCAUGGCAUAAGGACCUCACCGAUCUCCCCUCUGGAAAAGAGCCUAAAACAACUUAAUCGACACAUUAUCCUUUCAUUCAUGUUAUUGGGCUACUAUCACAUGCCAGCAUUCUUCUAGGCCCUAGAGACACAUCAGUCAGUGGACAAGUCUCCCCUUCUCAUAGUAGAGGAUCAAUAAUAGAAAUAUUUAAAAUCUAAGUUCAAUUUGAGACAAGUGUUAUGAAGAAAAUAAAGUGAAGGGAUAGAAUAGAAAGUGACUGGUCAGGGGCUGGGAGGAUGGAAUGCUCCAAAACUUCCACAUAUGCUAUCCUCAUCCAUGAAUAUGAUUUGCUACCAAUCACUUCCACAUAGGUGAGUUUAAAAGACCACUUACCGACCCAUCUCCUAGACUAAUACAGUAAUUGUACUAUGUACAGAGGCCAUUUUUUCAACUCCCAAUCUCUGCUUCUAAGUAUAAUUUAUUUUAGUAUAUGGAAUAUUUUGCUUUUCUCACUCUGUACAACACGUGCUGCUUUGUGUUAAUUUGUUUCCAUAGGUGAAGAUGGAGUGAUUGGGAUGAUGGGCUUUCCUGGAGCCAUUGGCCCUCCAGGGCCCCCUGGGAACCCAGGCACACCAGGGCAGAGGGGGAGCCCUGGAAUUCCAGGAGUAAAGGGCCAGAGAGGAACCCCAGGAGCCAAGGGGGAACAAGGAGAUAAAGGAAAUCCCGGGCCUUCAGAGAUAUCCCACGUAAUAGGGGACAAAGGAGAACCAGGUCUCAAAGGAUUCGCAGGAAAUCCAGGUGAGAAAGGAAACAGAGGCGUUCCAGGGAUGCCAGGUUUAAAGGGCCUCAAAGGACUACCCGGACCAGCAGGACCACCAGGCCCCAGAGGAGAUUUGGGCAGCACUGGGAAUCCUGGAGAACCAGGACUGCGUGGUAUACCAGGAAGCAUGGGGAACAUGGGCAUGC